rnacentral:rRNA from 1 species
UCAAGUGUCUCUAAGGGCAUUUGGUGGAUGCCUUGGCGUUGAGAGGCGAUGAAGGACGUGACACGCUGCGAUAAGCCAUGGGGAGCUGCGAGUAAGCUUUGAUCCGUGGAUUUCCGAAUGGGGAAACCCGACCGUAAGGUCACCCGCAAGGGAGCGAACCCGGGGAACUGAAAUAUCUAAGUACCCGGAGGAAAGGACAUCAACCGAGACUCCGUUAGUAGUGACGAGCGAACGCGGACCAGGCCAGUGGCCUGAGAGAAGACAACCAGAAGCGUCUGGAAAGGCGCGCCAUAGUGGGUGAUAGCCCCGUAUGGGUAAUGCUUCUUUCAGGUCCUCGAGUAGGGCGGGACACGUGAAAUCCUGUCUGAACAUGGGGGGACCACCCUCCAAGCCUAAGUACUCCUCAACGACCGAUAGCGAACCAGUACCGUGAGGGAAAGGUGAAAAGCACCCCGAUGAGGGGAGUGAAAUAGACCUGAAACCGAAUGCCUACAAUCAGUCGGAGCCGCCUUGAGCGGUGACGGCGUACCUUUUGUAUAAUGGGUCAGCGAGUUACUUUGACGAGCAAGCCUAAGCCGUUAGGUGUAAGCGAAGCGAAAGCGAGUCUGAAUAGGGCGUAUAGUUCGUUUGAGUAGACCCGAAACCGGGUGAUCUAGCCAUGGGCAGGUUGAAGGUACGGUAACACGUACUGAAGGACCGAACCCACGCAUGUUGAAAAAUGCGGGGAUGACCUGUGGCUAGGGGUGAAAGGCCAAUCAAACCCGGAGAUAGCUGGUUCUCCGCGAAAACUAUUUAGGUAGUGCGUCACGUAUUACCGUCGGGGGUAGAGCACUGGAUGGGCUAGGGGGGCGCGAGCCUUACCAAACCUAACCAAACUCCGAAUACCGAUGAGUACAGCGUGGCAGACAGACUAUGGGUGCUAAGGUCCAUAGUCGAGAGGGAAACAGCCCAGACCUCCAGCUAAGGUCCCCAAGUUAUGGCUAAGUGGGAAAGGAUGUGGGAAGGCCAAGACAGCCAGGAGGUUGGCUUAGAAGCAGCCAUCCUUUAAAGAAAGCGUAACAGCUCACUGGUCUAGACAAGCCGGCCUGCGCCGAAGAUGUAUCGGGGCUAAAGCCAUACACCGAAGCUGAGGACGUGCAUUGCACGUGGUAGCGGAGCGUUCUGUAAGUCUGCGAAGCCCAACCGCGAGGUUGGGUGGAGAUAUCAGAAGUGAGAAUGCUGACAUGAGUAGCGAUAAAGAGUGUGAGAAACACUCUCGCCGUAAGCCCAAGGGUUCCUGCGCAAGGCUAAUCCGCGCAGGGUGAGUCGGCCCCUAAGACGAGGGCGAAAGCCGUAGUCGAUGGGAAUCAGGUUAAUAUUCCUGAACCCGAUGGUAGUGACGGAUGACGUAAGUUGUACAUGCUUAUCGGAUUGUGUGUGCAGCGAAGUUGUUCCAGGAAAUAGCUCCAUCACUAGGACCGUACCCCAAACCGACACAGGUGGGCAGGUAGAGCAUACCGAGGCGCUUGAGAGAACGAUGUUGAAGGAACUCGGCAAAUUGCCCCCGUAACUUCGGGAGAAGGGGGACCUCCAUUAAGGCAACUUUUUGGGGGUGGCACAGACCAGGGGGUGGCGACUGUUUAUUAAAAACACAGGGCUCUGCGAAGUAGCUAAUACGACGUAUAGGGUCUGACGCCUGCCCGGUGCCGGAAGGUUAAAAGGAGGUGUGAGAGCUCCGAAUUGAAGCCCCGGUAAACGGCGGCCGUAACUAUAACGGUCCUAAGGUAGCGAAAUUCCUUGUCGGGUAAGUUCCGACCUGCACGAAUGGCGUAAC